rnacentral:ncRNA from 1 species
AAUAAAGCGUUGAUAGGAAGCAGUAGCUGUUUGAUUCUAUCUAUAGAGAGCUAAUAUCUGGUGCAAAUUAGCGUUAGAAUGCAGUGAAUCCAUCCUGGAGCAUGCUUAUUGAAGUGGUUCAGUCACGUAAGUAAGCACGGAGAUACGACGUUAUUCGUAUAUAAAGCCGGAAGAAUCUGUCUGUAUAGAUUCUUUAACUAGGGUGGCAACGCGGGAAAUAUACUCUCGUCCCUUUC